rnacentral:rRNA from 1 species
CCGGCGACCGGCGGACGGUGCGUAACGCGUAUGUAACCUACCUUUGACAGGGGGAUAACAUCGAGAAAUUGGUACUAAUACCCCAUAACAUCACCGGAGGCAUCUUCGGUGGUUGAAAACUCAGGUGGUCAGAGAUGGACAUGCGUUGUAUUAGCUAGUUGGUGAGGUAACGGCUCACCAAGGCGACGAUACAUAGGGGGACUGAGAGGUCAACCCCCCACAUUGGUACUGAGACACGGACCAAACUCCUACGGAAGGCAGCAG